rnacentral:rRNA from 1 species
UACAGAGGUCUCAAGCGUUGUUCGGAUUCAUUGGGCGUAAAGGGUGUGUAGGUGGCGCGCUAAGUCGGGUGUGAAAUCUCGGAGCUUAACUUCGAAACUGCAUUCGAUACUGCCGUGCUUGAGGACUGGAGAGGAGACUGGAAUUUACGGUGUAGCGGUGAAAUGCGUAGAUAUCGUAAGGAAGACCAGUGGCGAAGGCGGGUCUCUGGACAGUUCCUGACACUGAGACACGAAGGCCAGGGGAGCAAACGGG